GAGUUUGAUCUUGGCUCAGAUUGAACGCUGGCGGCAUGCCUUACACAUGCAAGUCGAACGGCAGCAUGAUCUAGCUUGCUAGAUUGAUGGCGAGUGGCGAACGGGUGAGUAAUACAUCGGAACGUGCCCUGUAGUGGGGGAUAACUAGUCGAAAGAUUAGCUAAUACCGCAUACGACCUGAGGGUGAGAGUGGGGGACCGCAAGGCCUCAUGCUAUAGGAGCGGCCGAUGUCUGAUUAGCUAGUUGGUGGGGUAAAGGCCCACCAAGGCGACGAUCAGUAGCUGGUCUGAGAGGACGAUCAGCCACACUGGGACUGAGACACGGCCCAGACUCCUACGGGAGGCAGCAGUGGGGAAUUUUGGACAAUGGGCGAAAGCCUGAUCCAGCAAUGCCGCGUGUGUGAAGAAGGCCUCGGUU
rnacentral:rRNA from 1 species